rnacentral:rRNA from 1 species
CAACCUGCCCACCACUUGGGGAUAACCUUGCGAAAGUAAGACUAAUACCCAAUGAUAUCUCUAGAAGACAUCUGAAAGAGAUUAAAGAUUUAUCGGUGAUGGAUGGGGAUGCGUCUGAUUAGCUUGUUGGCGGGGUAACGGCCCACCAAGGCGACGAUCAGUAGGGGUUCUGAGAGGAAGGUCCCCCACAUUGGAACUGAGACACGGUCCAGACUCCUACGGGAGGCAGCAGUGAGGAAUAUUGGUCAAUGGGCGAGAGCCUGAACCAGCCAAGUAGCGUGCAGGAUGACGGCCCUAUGGGUUGUAAACUUCUUUUAUAAGGGAAUAAAGUGAGUCUCGUGAGACUUUUUGCAUGUACCUUAUGAAUAAGGACCGGCUAAUUCCGUGCCAGCAGCCGCGGUAAUACGGAAGGUUCGGGCGUUAUCCGGAUUUAUUGGGUUUAAAGGGAGCGUAGGCCGGAGAUUAAGCGUGUUGUGAAAUGUAGACGCUCAACGUCUGCACUGCAGCGCGAACUGGUUUCCUUGAGUACGCACAAAGUGGGCGGAAUUCGUGGUGUAGCGGUGAAAUGCUUAGAUAUCACGAAGAACUCCGAUUG